ACUUAAAUAGCUUAAUUUAAAGCUUAAUAUUGAAGAUAUUAUGAUGACUAUAAUUAGUCUUUGAGUA
rnacentral:tRNA from 2 species